rnacentral:rRNA from 1 species
UUCGUAGGCGGCAUGAAAAGUAGGGUGUGAAAGCCCUCGGCUCAACCGAGGAAUUGCGCUCUAAACUGUCGUGCUCGAGGAAUCUAGAGGUGAGCGGAACUGAUGGUGGAGCGGUGAAAUGCGUUGAUAUCAUCAGGAACACCGGAGGCGAAGGCGGCUCACUGGGGAUUUUCUGACGCUGAGGAACGAAAGCCAGGGGAGCGAACG